rnacentral:rRNA from 1 species
UACGGGAGGCAGCAGUGGGGAAUUUUGCGCAAUGGGCUAACGCCUGACGCAGCAACGCCGCGUGGAGGAUGAAGGUCUUUGGAUUGUAAACUCCUGUCAGCAGGGAAAAAGGGAGGGGACCUAAUACGUCCUUGACUUGAUUGUACCUGCAGAGGAAGCCCCGGCUAACUCUGUGCCAGCAGCCGCGGUAAUACAGAGGGGGCAAGCGUUAUUCGGAAUUAUUGGGCGUAAAGGGCGCGUAGGCGGCUUUGCAAGUGACGGGUGAAAUCCCUCGGCUUAACCGAGGAACUGCCUGUCAGACUGCAUUGCUUGAGUCCGGGAGAGGUGAGUGGAAUUCCCAGUGUAGCGGUGAAAUGCGUAGAUAUUGGGAGGAACACCAGUGGCGAAGGCGGCUCACUGGACCGGAACUGACGCUGAGGCGCGAAAGCGUGGGGAGCAAACAGGAUUAGAUACCCUGGUAG